UACGAAGGGGGCUAGCGUUGCUCGGAAUCACUGGGCGUAAAGGGUGCGUAGGCGGGUCUUUAAGUCAGGGGUGAAAUCCUGGAGCUCAACUCCAGAACUGCCUUUGAUACUGAGGAUCUUGAGUUCGGGAGAGGUGAGUGGAACUGCGAGUGUAGAGGUGAAAUUCGUAGAUAUUGGGAAGAACACCGGUGGCGAAGGCGGCUAUCUGGACUGACAUUGACGCUGAGGCGCGAAAGCGUGGGGAGCAAACAGG
rnacentral:rRNA from 1 species